CAUAAUUUUUAUUAAUGUUUCUACUUCUAGAUCCAGUUCAUUACAUCGAACGAAUUUAGUUCCUCUGAGGCACAACGUUUUUUUAAAUAAAACGGCCACAUUUUCUCAUUCAUUUUAACUAUUGUUGUUUUUUCAUUUGAACAUCGACAUUCCUCCAAAUUUUACGAUACGUAAUCGUUACACUUCAUCCCUUUAGUCUUUUUACUGCUACUUGUGUUUAGGUC
rnacentral:lncRNA from 1 species